rnacentral:misc_RNA from 1 species
GAUGAAGAACGUAGCGAAAUGCGAUAAGUAAUGUGAAUUGCAGAAUUCAGUGAAUCAUCGAAUCUUUGAACGCACAUUGCGCCCGCCAGCAUUCUGGCGGGCAUGCCUGUUCGAGCGUCAUUUCAACCCUCGCAGCCCAUCUGGGCAGCGGUGUUGGGGACCGGCACCACCGGCGAAGCCCUUAGGGGCCCAGCCGGCGCCGCCCCCGAAAUACAGUGGCGGUCUCGCUGCAGCCUCCCUUGCGUAGUGGCACACCUCGCACCGGAGCGCAGCGCGGCCACGCCGUAAAACCCCCGACUUUCUGAGUUUGACCUCGAAUCAGGUAGGAAUACCCGCUGAACUUAAGCAUAUCAAUAAGCGGAGGA